UACGUAGGAAGCAAGCGUUGUCCGGAAUCACUGGGCGUAAAGCGUCUGCAGGUGGUUUCCUAAGUCCACUGUUAAACCUUGAGGCUCAACCUCAAAUCUGCAUUGGAAACUAGGAGACUUGAGUAUAGUAGGGGUAGAGGGAAUUUCCAGUGGAGCGGUGAAAUGCGUAGAUAUUGGAAAGAACACCGAUGGCGAAGGCACUCUACUGGGCUAUUACUGACACUCAGAGACGAAAGCUAGGGGAGCAAAUGGG
rnacentral:rRNA from 1 species